GCUCCUACUUCAUACCCCACUCAUUGGUCAUUGACAAAGCUCCUACCUCAUACCUCGCUCAUUGGUGAUUGCCAUAGCUCCAACCGCAUACCUCACUCACUGAUCAUUGUUAUAGCUCCAACCUCAUACCUCUCUCACUGAUCAUUGCCAUAGCUCCAACCUCAUACCUCACUCAUUGGUCAUUGCUGUAGCUCCAACCUCAUACCUCACUCGUUGGUAUUUGC